rnacentral:rRNA from 1 species
CUACGGGUUGCUCCAGUGGGGAAUAUUGCACAAUGGAGGGAACUCUGAUGCAGCAACGCCGCGUGGAGGAUGACGCAUUUCGGUGUGUAAACUCCUUUUAUAUAGGAAGAUAAUGACGGUACUAUAUGAAUAAGCACCGGCUAACUCCGUGCCAGCAGCCGCGGUAAUACGGAGGGUGCAAGUGUUACUCGGAAUCACUGGGCGUAAAGCGCAUGCAGGCGGUUAAAUAAGUUGGAAGUGAAAUCCUAUGGCUCAACCAUAGAACUGCUUCCAAAACUGUUUAACUAGAGUCUGGGAGGGGAAGAUGGAAUUAGUAGUGUAGGGGUAAAAUCCGUAGAGAUUACUAGGAAUACCAAAAGCGAAGGCGAUCUUCUGGAACAGUACUGACGCUGAGAUGCGAAAGCGUGGGGAGCAAACAGGAUUAGAUACCCCCGUAGUC